rnacentral:lncRNA from 1 species
AAAAAUAAGGAAAAAGGGGACAGGUAGUACUCAGAAGGCAAGGAACCAAAAAUUGAAUUAAAUUAUUACAUGGGAUGACUAGGAUAUGUUUCAAGUCAGUGAUAAUAUAGCUACUUCCAGGUACUUCAGUAUCAGAGAUCAGUUCCUAUUGGCCAAUUUCUAUGACCAACCGUCCUUGUCAUUGAAUGUGGUAUAACUGACUAUUGACUUGACAGGUUCAUUUGGCCAAUUGAGCAAUAUUUCCUUUAAUGACUAUUUUGGAGAAAAGAAAAAUAGGUUUAAAGAAAAUAAAACUUAAUUUAAACACAUUUCUCGCAAGAAAUAAUCAACUAUUUGAAAAUCAUGCUUUAACUUUUUAUCAUAUUUUCAGCUAUAUAAAAUCAUUUAUUUUGAAGACUUUCAGAAUGCUGUUAAUUUGAAAUCUGUUAAUCAUGUUGUAGAAUUUGGUUUUUUUAAAAAGAUGUUUCUAAUUGGAUUUUUUAAAAAAGAAUGGAAUUUGGUCACUAUUUUAUGAUAGAACCUAAGCUUUUUGUGGUUCUUAGUGUCCUCUGUAAAACUUAGUGUCGAAGUAAUCAACUUUUGAGGUUUUCCCUUCUAAUCUGCUUUAUAUUACAAGCCCUUUAGGAAAUGGGAACCCGGUGAAUAUAUAAUGAAUUGUAAAAUAUUUUAAUGUGUAACUUUUUCAACUGUGAAACUAUGACUAUUGGUUUUUUGAAGAAAACAGCUGCUGAUAAAGUAUUUUGUGUAAAGUGUAGUUCUUAUUAAUCAGGAAAAUAAUCAAUUACUUGAUUAGAAUGUAUAUAUCCUCUUGGAUUUUAUUUUAAAUGGAUUGGUGAUUUUCACGUAGGUAAAACACAGUCCAUCUGUAUUCUUUUUCCAUCAAAAAUCUAGUGAUUUGGCAUUUAUUUAAAAAAAUGUAUGAGCAGCCUAUGUAUUUUAAAGGCACCAUGGAAAUGUCACAGUACAUAAACUUGGAUUCGUUUCUUAGUGAUUUGUAAAUCCAUUUAAUUCAUACCCUGAUCAGUAGUCCGUGUUUGCCACAUUUUGAAGAAAUAUAAUUUCCAGCAUUAUUUUAAAUAUAGCAAGUUAACUUUUUCUCAAUGUUAUAAAUUCCUUUUGUUUCUGUUAUCUGCACAAACUGCAGACCUGGGCUGGACCCACACAUUCAGAAUCCAUCUUAAAAAUUGAUUUUGAUGUCCAAGGCAUCACUAAAAUAUUUCAGUUUAAAGACCAUAUGUGGUGUUAAUGGAUUGUGGUGCUUCUACUAUUUAAAAACAACUUUCAUACUUCAGAUAUUUUUGAGAAGAGGGGAAUGUGAAGGGAGGGGGCAGAACAGGGAGGAGUUGCUUGAAUGAGUUACAUUCUUCAUAUCCGUCCUGCUCGGAUCGGGCACUAAGAAGGCUGAAAGCUGUGAGAGUAUGUUGUGCACACCAUGAGGGAAUUAAUUCUUCAUCAAGGAUGGGAUUGUGAAGGCUGAACUAUACAAAUCAGCACUGACAAAAUCUUCAGAUAAUAAUUCUUGGUGAUAGAGAAUAAUACAGCUGGGCUGUUUUUUAAAAUAUAAAGACAAACCAUUUUUAUUUUUUAAUUAUCACAUUAAAAAUUGUAAAUGUAUCUUAUGUACCAUGGCCUGGGAAGCCUUUUUUCUUUUCUCUUAAGAGUUAUUUUCACUUUCUGAAA